rnacentral:rRNA from 1 species
AAAGCGUGCGCAGGCGGUUAUGUAAGACAGAUGUGAAAUCCCCGGGCUCAACCUGGGAACUGCAUUUGUGACUGCAUGGCUAGAGUACGGUAGAGGGGGAUGGAAUUCCGCGUGUAGCAGUGAAAUGCGUAGAUAUGUGGAGGAACACCGAUGGCGAAGGCAGCCCCCUGGGUCAAAACUGACGCUCAUGCACGAAAGCGUGGGGAGCAAACAGGAUUAGAUACCCGAGU